rnacentral:rRNA from 1 species
GACGUAGGGCGCGAGCGUUGUCCGGAUUUAUUGGGCGUAAAGAGCUCGUAGGCGGCUUGUCGCGUCGUCCGUGAAAACCUGGGGCUCAACUCCAGGCUUGCGGUCGAUACGGGCAGGCUAGAGUUCGGUAGGGGAGACUGGAAUUCCUGGUGUAGCGGUGAAAUGCGCAGAUAUCAGGAGGAACACCGGUGGCGAAGGCG